AUCUGAACACUCUCUCUGCUCUAAGUUUCUAGCUGGGAGAUAGUUCAAUAUUGGAGUGGGAACCUGCUGUUUUGUCCGCAAUAAGCCAGAUGGACUGAACUCUGAUGUUUUUCAGAUUUGUGCACUUCAGUUGGAUAAUGCCGGUAGAGCGACUUCUUACCGCAGUGGUUAGUGGUCAAUGCAAAGACCCUCCGGAGUGCUGGAAAUAAGUGAGUACAAGUGAUCAGCCAUAGAGAGGGUAUCUAUACCACACCCAACCCCAAAGCUCGGGGUGGAUAGGAUAAUGCAAUAGCCCAAGAGUAGGGGACAGUGUUGUGAACAUUGACCUCUGGACAUGGCAUGACUCUUGCUCACAUGAACUCACAGCAGUUGUGGUCACCUAGAAGAGAUCAAGCCAGUUAAAGUUCCAGCAUAGAGUGGGAAGGAGCUCCCAGGAUCUUCUACUUGCUGGGGGAGCAUUGGCAGUUGAUGGCUGAUGAGCAUUGGGGGAAAGAGAAGCACUUUUCCCCGGACCAGCUGCAUGUGGAUAGAAUGUACAUUCCACAGUGGAUGGCUCCAUACCCAUGUGCAUAGGGGUGGCGCUUACUCAGUGGGACUAUAUAUACAUCAUAUACAAUACACAUAUGUGUGUAUGUGUGUACACAUACAUCUCUAUAUGUAAUCUCCAUCUCCAUCUAUCUAUAUCUCUUUCUAUCUCUCUCUAUCUUUCUAUCUCUCCAUUUUUAUCUCUACAUCUAAUCUAUAUCUAUAUCUAUCUCUCUUUACAUAUAUACAUACUCACAGAAACAGAGGAUAUGACAUUGGGAUGGAGAGAUAUGCUGAGAUAGAGCAAGGACUAGAAGGGAGUUGGAGGGAGUAUAGUAGAUCUAAUUAAGAUACAUUGUGUACAGGUGUAAAAGUAUUAGAAUAUGUAAUAUGAUACAGUAUAAACCAUCCAUUCACUGACAGUUAUUAAAAGUGAUUUUGAAAUUAAAAACUAGUUAUAAAAAUCUUGAUAGAAUAUAGAAAAUUCCCUGCAUGUAAUGUGAAAUUAAUGAAAAAUGUGCUGUUUUAUGAUUGUUUUUAAAAUAAGAUUUAGUUUUGUUCUCAGUGAUCCCUCCUGAAAGAAUAUUUUCUUUGAUGAAAUUCGAGUGAUGGGGGACUUUCAGAGAGUCUGUCAACACAUCGCACUCCUAUAUGCCAGCAUCCUACAGCUCUGAUCUGGUACCAAGAUAUCUGCCUGUUAGGAAGCUUGGCAUCGCUCACUUUAUACGACCUGCAAGCCAGAAGUUUGUGGGACCUUUUGAAAUCUUUAACUUUAAGAGAUCUUGUCUUUUGGCUGCUUCUAUAUUCUGUGCCAAGUCAUCAUAGGCCCUGGUAGAAGGUUUGACUUAUAAAAAGGAUUGCUUGUGGAGUUACUGCUGUUUGUAAAUCAAUCCCUCCAUAGAUUUUGCCUGCAUAAGAUACACGGUUCAGUAUCUCCCCUGUGGCAGCACCCUCCAGUGAAGAUCCUUUCUUUACAUACUCUAACCAGAGUGUAAAUAUGCAAAAUCCAUACAAAUAAGAAAAAGGAGCUGGAUACAAUUAAGAUUAAAACUAUACAUUGAGUGUUCUCAAUAUUAACACUAUAGCUCUAAAAUUUGAAUUAAGAUUUCAAGUAUCUCAGAGUGGUAUUAAACAUUAUCCAGCCCUGAUCUACAUUGACUCCAUUGCAGUGCUGCAUUUUCUGUAAAAAAGAAAAGCCUGUGUGUGUGUGUGUCUGUGUGUGUGUGUGUGUCUGUGUGUGUGUGUGCGAGAGAGAGAGACAGAGACAGAGAGAGACAGAGACAGAGAGAGACAGAGAGAGACAGACACAGAGAGAGAGACAGAGAGAGAGACAGAGAAAGACUGAGAGGGGACAGAAAGAGACAGAGACAGAGACAGAGACAGAGAGACAGAGACACAACACACAGUCUCUUGUGUGCUGGACUUCGAGCUUCUAGACAUUUUGUAUCCAUCUUCCAUUUUACCUUAGGAAUGCUGGGAUUACAGAUGAUGUUUUUGAAUUUUACAAGGGUCCUAAGGACCUGAUUUUUAUGACGGUCUUCAGACUUACAUAGCAAACACUACCCACUGAGUCAUCUCUUUAAUUCACCAAUGGCAUGAAUUAAGAACAGUCAAAACUUUGCUUGAACACUUUUAUUUAUAUUCCCUCUCUACCACCCAACCACUUCUUGCUGGUUUUAGAGCUCAGUUCUGUGCUUAAAUUGGAUAUCAGUUUCAACAUUUAUUAUUCCUGUUAAUAAACUAAGACCACAAGAGGAGAUAAUUUAAACUUGGCCUCUACUGAAGGAAGUUCAUUUUAUCCAACAGAUGGCGCUAUGUUGUCAUCGUGUAAAGUGAAAUUCACAUUUUUAAAAAGCGUUCACCAAAACCACAAUUGCUAUCUUUUUUCUCCCUCAAGCAGAGUUUAUGAAACAUUAAUCAAUUCAGAGAAGCUAAUAAAAAGCCUGGAAAAUGGAUCCCAAUGUUACUUAAAUUAUGACCGUUUAUCAGUAAACAGAGGGAAUUUAUGGGCCAGGUAUUGGAGUAUACUAAAAAGGAGGCUGGUUAAAACAGCUUUGUUCUCUAAAAGUCUGUAGACAUUUUAAUGCGUACGAGGUUUUAAUUUGUCACUGAAUUUGGGGCAAAUCUAAUUGUCUUUUUUUUCUUUCAGUGGGCUAAGUUUGAUGAUCUUUAUGUUGAAAUCGAAUAGUCUAUGCAAAAAAAAAUCGGUGGUAAAUUAUGGGGUGAUCUCUUCAAUAUGGCUAAAAAUUAAAAAUAUGAGUUUCUACCAUAAUUAACUAACAUUUAUUUUUUUCCUGUUAGAAAAACAGCAAAAGGGUUGAGAUCAGUUUACAUGACAAUUAAUUGGAUAGCACCUGGGUUUUCCCCAACAGGGAUGAAGACAUUGGAGAGACAUGAGCUUAAAGAAUUCCAGAGGAAGAGGUCUAUGUAGCAAUAUGAAAAAUACUAUGUGGUUAGACAAACUGAAGACCAAAAAAGUAUUUUCUGAUCACCCCAAAUAAAUUGUGCUACAUUUCACAAAACAUUCAACAUUAUUCAAUGUGAGAUCAGCAAUAUCAUAAGAAAGACAAUCAGAUGUGGGUAUCACUAAUUAGAUACGAUAGGUUACACUUUAAGGAUAAAGAGAACAGAAGGGACUCCAGAGAGAAUUAUCUCAGUGGUUAAGAACAUUGAGUGUUCUUCUAGAUGACGAAGAUUCAGUUCCCAGUUCCCAGAAGCCACUUGAUAGCUUACAACCAUCGGUAACUCCAGUCUUUAAGAAUCAGAUACCUUCUUCUGACUGUCAAGGGCAUCGCAUACACAGAUGCAGGCAAAACACCCACACAUACACAAAAGAAAACGAAAAAAAAAAAGACAUUAAAUUUUGGAGAUGUGUUGGGAGGAACCUUGGAAAGUUGGAAGAAAGAAUGAAGGGAUAGGUAUGAUCACAAUACAUGGCAUACAUGUAUGAAAUUCUCAAAGAAAAAAAGUACAUUUGAAUAAAAAGACUGGGAUCAGUCAGAGAUAACUUGGAGGAACCAUAUGUUAUAAAGUAAAAUGACACAAAUUCACAGAUAAGCAUAGACUUCAUGUUUAUCUUGUACAUUUAAAACCCCUUAGACAUCAUGUCUGAUGUCCUGCAAUACAAUGUGAUACAGCAUGCAAGACACUAAGCUAGGAGUUGCAAAUACAGGUUUUGUCAUUUUUCCUCAGACUUGUGUUUUUGUAAUGUAUACAAAAGUAAAGUGGAAAAGAUUAUUCUAAAGUCCCCAAUAGCACUGAGACUCUAUUAUUAUUUCUUUCCCUAAUGCUGAACGUAAUAGGUGUCAUAAAAUUUAAUGACCUCCUUAACACAAGUGGUAAAUUAUAUUUUACAAUAAGAGGCUGAGUUGCUCUUCAGUAAAUCUGUAAAGAGAGUCAUGCAUUGCAAGCAUUUUUUUUUCUGACAUCAUCAGAGCUUGGGGAAAUGAAUUUGAAGCAGGAAAAUUCAACUUAAUUUGUGAGGAGUUUGGCUUUUUCCCCUAUUGCUCUUCCUUCACAGAUUUUUAUGGACAGUUUCCACAUGCUUGGCACUCACAGGAUUGGUGACGGAGUGGACAUAAGUUACACCACUACACUGCCUCUUGAUGUUUAGGGCAUAAUAAAUAAGUGGAUUAAGAAACAGCUAGAGCAUGGGAAGAUAUAUACUCAGGGAAAUACUGACAGACAGGCAUUCAGAAAAUACACUCUUCUCUAGUGUUCUUCAACUUAUUUCAUAUCUUCCCUUUCCCAGGAGGCUUAGAGUUGAUUCCAUCAUGUUCUCAGAGUCCUUCCCAUCAAAGGGAGCAUCUCUACACAGGGAAUAGGACAUUAGUUUCCCAGAACUGCUGUCAUAAAAGGCCACAGCUGGUUUGAAAUGGAAGUUAAUUUUCUUCUAGUCCAAGAGAUCGGAAACUCAGAACUAUGGUAUGAGUAAGCUAUGUCCUGUGUUGUCUUGGAGGAAUCUAUCCUAGCUGCUGGAAUGGCUGACCCUCAUUGCUGUCCUAUGGCCUAAGGAAGCAAAUGAUUAUCAAUUUAUCUUUUCAGAUAGCCUUCUCUCUAUCUGCCUUUGUUGUGUCUAUCUGUUGUGUCUGUCUUUGUAUUCAUGACCCUUAUGCUUCAUAAAAGACCUCAUCUUAACUGAUUACAUGGGCAAUGAUUCUCUCUCCCAAACAAAGUCAAAUGUGUGGUUUCUUGGUUGAUAGGAACAUUUGGAAGAUCCUGUUCAAAUGUAUUGUUAUGAAAACUAGUGGCGGACGAAAAUAGGAUACAGGAGGUAAAUGUUUAAGAAGAGAUUUUGUUGCGAGCUAAGAGAUAUUAGUGAAUUGUGUGCAUGUGCAUUUCAGUGCCAGGAUGUUUCCAUCUGCUACUUUACUGCAUGCCUCCAAGUCAUAGACAAUGGUGGUCUGAGAAGAUUGUAGGACUUCCAGAAGUAUUUAGAUUUCAUGAAGUUUGAUAGAGAUUUUUGUUAUGUCCACCAUGUCAGGAUGAAGUAUCCUUUUCAGCCCCUGGUUGAUCGUUCAGAAACAACACUGAGAUUGUCAAAGGAGAAAAGUCCCUGGAAAAAAAGAGACACACAGUUGGAGUGCUCUUGGAACAAAAUAAUUAGCCUUAGAAUUACUGAAGAUAUGAAGAAUUCUUGACAACAUAAUGAUUCCACUAAAUUUCUUCCCAAUUUUCCUCAAUUCAAAAUCAAUUUCAAAUUUACUUAUCUUGCCAGUAGGAAUGACAUGUUUAAUAUGAGGGUUUUAAACAAUGACAGUGUGAAAUCCUUUUAUGAUAGAUGUGUUGUUAAGUCCUCAAAUCACAAAUCAAACUUUUAAUGGCAAGAUUUAUGCUCUUUCUAUUUAUUCAGUGCAGGUGAAUUUUCAUUGAGGGAGAGAGAUUUUGAUUUUGCAAAAUGUAAGGGAAUUUGGUAUUCUAAAAUCUUAGGCAUUUGCUAUUCACAGAUAAGAGCCCAACUGUGAACUUUAAUGGAAUACGUUCUUUCACAUGGCUUAAAUUUCCUUUCUCUCUUCUCCUUCUUUACCUCCUGUUUUUCCUCCUCUGUCCUUCCUCUGAUCCCACUUUCUUCCUCAUGUUCAUUCUUGCUAUCAUUUCUCUGUCUCUUUCUCUUUAUGUCUCUUCUUUGUCUCUCUGUCUGUCUCUGUCUCUCUGUCUCUGUCUCUCUGUCUCUCUCUCUGUGUCUCUGUCUCUGUCUCUGUCUCUGUCUCUGUCUCUCUCUCUCUCUCUCUCUCUCUGUCUCUCCAACCCUAGUUGGCUUUGUCCUUUUUCUUGCCCUUCCCUCUCCCACUUCACUAGAAAUAGUAUAGAAUGAAAGCUCAUGGAUUGUUAAUGACUGCUUUCUUUGUAGAUGGCAGUCGAUAGAGUCUGAACUUUGCAUGAAAAGUAAACCUUCAUCUAAAAGUGUCUUGCAAAGUCUAGAAUCAUAAAGUGGAUUCUCAAAAUGAAAGGGUAGAGGAUAACAUGGAGGCAAAAACAAAAGCUUCCUGAAUUCACUCCAUGUGUUUAGAAAAUAUGGGAGAACAAUGUCAGAUGGUCAAGGCUGGUUCUGCACACUGGGGGGACAUUAUUAAUGCCUCUGUAUGAAGUCAGAAAAAAAGACUCCUCUGCACAGUGAAUUGCUUAUCCUUAUUAGUAAUCAUUGAGUGCAUGCUUACCUAGCAGAUGUCUGGGAAUCAUAUUAGCAAUAUCUUAGGCACAGAGAGAACUUGGAUUCCCAGUGAGUACUAGUAGGUAACUUUGAGGUUUGGAUUUUAUCUGCUCUUUAUAUGAAUAUAAGAUUUUAGAAACAUUACCUGGAAAGACUGAGGUAAAUUUCAUGUGCCACUUCUUACAGUGUUUACCUGUGAUUUGUGGUUCUAACCCUAAACUUUCUUGCCUAUAGUUAUGACCUGAAGUGUUUUCCCUUUAGUAGUUUCAAUGUUUCCAGCUUUUUAAAAAUAGUAUUUAAUCUUUUUUGUUUAUAAUUCAGAUUUUAUCCCCCUCCCAGUCCUCCCUCUGACUGUUCCACAUGCGAUACCUUCUUCUGCUCACCCCCUUUCUCCAUGAGGAUGACCCCACUCCUGACCCCCACCCCACCAGACCUCUCCAAUCUCUGGGGCCUUCAGUCUCUUGAGGGUUAGGUGCAUCUUCUCUGACUGAACCCAGACCCAGCAGUCCUCUGAUGUAUGUGUGUUGGGGGCUUCAUAUCAGCAGGUGUAUGUUGCCUGGUUAGUAGUCCAAUGUCUGAGAGAUAUUGGGCGUCCAGGUUAAUUGAGACUGCUGGUCCUCCUACAGGGUUGUCCUCCUCCUUGACUUCUUCCAGUUUUUCCCCAAUUCAACCACAAGGGCCAGCAGCUUCUGUUCAUUGGUUGGAUGUAAAUAUCUGCAUCUGAAUCUUUCAGCUGCUUGUUGGGUCUUUCAGAGGACAGUCAUGAAAAAUCCCUUUUUGUGAGUACUCCUCCGCCUUGGCAAUAAUGUAGGGCCUUGGAGCCUCACCUGGAGCUGGAUCUCACUUUGGGUCUGUUCCUAGACCUCCUUUGCCUCAGGCUUUUCUCCAUUGUUGCCCCUGCAGUUCUUUCAGACAGGAACAAUUAGGAGUCAGAAUUUUUGCCUGUGGGAUGUCAACCCCCUCUCUUACUUGAUGCCUUGCCUUUCUUCUGGAAGUGGGCUUUACAAGUGACCACUCUCCACUGUAGAGCAUUUCAUUUAAGGUCCCUCCAUUUGAGAUCUGAGAGGCUGUCACCUUUCAUGUCUCUGGUAUAUAAUGGAAGGAUCCCCUGAACCUCUUACAUACUGAGAUUGCCUGUCUAUAGUCUUUCUAUUGACCCUCGAGGCUUCAGUCUUUUUUCAUCACCCAAUACCUGAUCAUGUUUCCCUCUUCUCAUCCCUGUCUCAUGUCCCACCCAGCAUCCUCCUUCCUUGCCCCCUCCUGUGAUUGCUUUCUUCUCCCUCCCAAGUGAGAUUGAGAAGUACUCAUUGAGCCCUUCUGUUUGUUAACUUUUUGAGUUCUGUGGACUGUAUCUUGGGUAUUCUGUAUUUUUUUUUGGCUAAUAUCCACCUAUUUGUGAGUACAUACCAUGCAUGUCCUUUGGAUGUUUCCUCACUCGGGAUAAUAUUUUCUAGUUCCACCCAUUUGUCUGCAAAAUUCAGAUUGUCCUCGUUCUUAAUAGUCGAGUAGUAUUCUAUUGUGUAAAUAAACCACAUUUUCUGUAUCCAUUCUUCUGUUGUGGGACAUCUGGGUUGUUUCCAGCUUCUGGUUAUCAUAAACAAGCCUGCUAUGAACAUAGUGGAACAUGUGCUCCUGUGGCCUGGUGGGACAUCUUUUGGGUAUAUUCUCAAGUGUUGUAUAGCUGGAUCUUCAGGUAGGCCUAUUUCCAAUUUUCUGAGGAACCUCCGGAUUGAUUUCCAGAGUGGUUGUACCAGCUUGCAAUCACACUGGCAAUGGAAUAGUGCCCCUCUUUUCCACAUCCUUGCCAGCAUGUGCUGUCACCUGAGGUUUUGAUCUUAGCCAUUCAUUGGUAAAAGUUGGAAUCUCAGGGUUGCUUUGAUUUUCAUUUCCCCGAUCACUAAGAACUUUGAGAAUUUCUUUGAGGUGCUUCCAAGCCAUUUGAGAUUCCUCUGUUGCGAAUUCUCUGUUUAGUUCUAUACCCCGUUUUUUAAAUUGGGUUGUCUGCUAUUUUGAUGGUUAGCUUUUGAAUUCUUCAUAUAUUUUGGAUAUUAGCCCUCUAUUAAAUGUGGAGUGAGUGAAGAUUUUUUUUGGCAAUCAGGUAGGUUGCCAAUUUGUCCUAUUGACUAUGUCCUUUACCUUGCAGAAGUUUUCUAGUUUCAUGAGGUCCCAUUUAUCAAUUCUUGAUCUUAGAGCAUGAGCUGGUGGUGUUCUGUUUAGGAAAUUUGCCCUUGUACAAAUUAGAUCAAGGCUCUUUUCCACUUUCUCUUCUUUUGUAAGUUGAGGUUCUUGACCCACUUCAACUUGAGCUUUGUACAAGAUGACAAAUAUGGGUCUAUUUUAUUUUCCUACAUACAGACAUCCAAUUAGACUAGCACCAUUUAUUGAAGAUGCUUUGUUUUUUCCAUUGCAUAUUUUUUGGCUUCUUUAUCAAAGAUCAAAUGUCCAUACGUGUGUGUGGUUUUAUUUCUGUGUCUUCAACUCUAUUUGAUUGAUCAACCUGUCUGUCUCUGUAACCAUAUCAUGGAGUUUUUAAUCACUAUUGUUCUGUAGUAUAGCUUGAUGUCAGGGAUGGUCAUUCCCCCAGCUGUUCUUUUAUUGUUAAGAAUUGUUUUCACUAUUUUGUUUUUCUGUUUGUUUGUUUUUGUUUUUCUGGAUGCAUUUGAGAAUUGCUUGCUCUUUCCAUGUUUUUGAAGAACUGUGCUGGGAUUUUGAUGGGGGAUUGCAUUGAAUCUGUAGAUUGCCUUUGUUAGGAUGGCCAUUUUUACUAUGCUAAUUCUGUCAAUCUGUGAGCAUGAGAGAUCUCUUCAUUUUCUGAGAUCUUCGAUUUCUUUCUUGAGAGACUUGAACUUAUUGUCAUACAGAUCUUUCAGUUGUUUGGUUAGAUAUUUUAUGUUAUUUGUGGCUAUUGUGAAGGGAGUUGUUUCCCUAAUUUCGUUCUCAGCCUGUUUAUCGUUUUUAUAAAGGAAGGCUACUGAUUUAUUUGAGUUAAUUUUACAUCCAGCCACUUUGCUGAAAUUGUUUAUCAGUUGAAGUAGUUCUCUGGUAGAAAUUUUGGGAUCAUUAUGUAUGUUAUCAUAUCAUCUGCAAAUAGUAAUACCUUUAUUUCUUCUUUUCCAAUUUGUUUCCCCUUGUUCUCUUUUUGUUGUCUUAUUGCUCUAGCUAGAACUUUGAGUGUUACAUUGAAUAGAUAAUAGGAGAGUGGGCAUCCUUGUUUUGUCCCUGAUUUUAGUGGGAUUGUUUCAAGUAUCUCUCCAUUUAAUUUGAUAUUGGCUGUUGAUUUGCAAUAAAUUGCCUUUUUUUUAAAGGUAUGGGCCUUGAAUUCCUGAUCUCUUCAUAAUACUUUUAACACGAAGGGAUGUUGUAUUUUGUCAAAUGCUUUUUCUCCAUCUAUAGAGAUGAUGAAGUGAUUUUCUUCUUUGAGUUUGUUUAUAGUGAAUUAAAAACCUAUAAUGAAGAAAACUGGAAAAUCUAGGUGAAAUGGGUCAUUUUCUAGACAGAUACCACAUACCAAAGUUAAAUCAAGAGCAGAUAAACAAAACAGGCUCAUAUCACCUAAGGAAAUAGAAGAAAUCAAUAAAAACUUUCCAACCAAGAAAAGCACAGGGCCAAAUGGCUAUAGUGCAGAAUUCUACCAGACUUUCAAAGAAGACCUAAUACCAAUAUUUCUCAAACUAUUCCAUAAAAUAGAAACAGAAGGAGCACUACCUAAUUCAUUCUAUGAAGCCACAAUUAUUCUGAUACCUAAACCACACAAGGACACAACAAAAAAAGAACUUUAGACUAAUUUUGCUAAUGAAUAUCAAUGCAAAAAUACAAAUAAAAUUCUUGCAAACCGAAUCCAAGAACACAUCAGAACCAUCAUUCGCCACGAUCAAGUAGGCUUCUUCCCAGAGAUACAAAGUUGGUUCAAUAUAUAAAAAUCCAAUGUCUCCAGCUUUAAAUGAAGGUUUCUGAUCCAGUUUCAAUUGAUUUUUGUAGAGGGUGGGAGAUAUAGAUCUAAUUUGAUUCUUUGCAGGUAAAUGUCCAGUAUCACAAGUACGUUUGUUGAAAAAGCUAUCAUUCUAUUCAGUGCAUGUGAGUUGCCAAACCUACUCUAUCUGAGGACUGGCCUCCAUCUAAAAACAAAAACAAAACAAAACAAAAAAGCCUAAGAACUUGACCAGCUUAAUGAAAGCUGCACCCAAGUACCAGGAAGGACCCACUUCCUUGGCCCAUACCCCAGAGUUACUCCCUAGCUACUUCCUAACAACAGUUAAUCAAAGACUGGAAUGAUUGUUUGAGAAGUACUUUCAGACCUUGUGAUUGUUCACUGUCUUGCUUCAGAAUAUCCUCCUGUGGGCCUACAACAGUGAUUCUGUUAGAUACAUGCCAAGCUACACCCUCCCUCACUUGCUCCCAUUUCCUAUAAAACCUUGUCUGUUGCUCUGCUUUCCUGUCCUGCUGUAUCAAGGUUGGGUUGGAGGAGAGCCCACGCCCAAGCUUGUAAUAAAGAGACCCUAGUGUGAUUACAUUGGAGUCAGCCCCUGGGUUGUCUUUUGCUGCUUGAGAAUGAGGCACUGCACAUGGUAUUGACACCUUUGUCAAAAAUGUAAGUGUCUGUGUAGCUUUAUCUCUGUAUCUUCUAUUAAGUUUUCCUGAUUUUCGUUUGUAUUUUGUUCUGGUCAUAACCAUGGUUUCUCUUCUAUAGUUUGAGAUCAGGGAUUGUGAUUCUGCUAGUUGUGCUCUUUCUGCAUAGAAUUUCUUUGACUCUCCAUGGUAUUUAUUUUUCCAUGUAAUUUUUAGGAUUCUUAUUUUCUAUUUCUGUGAAGAACAUUAUCAACUCUUUAUAGGGAUUCCAUUGAUAUUGUAGAUUGCGUGGAUUGCUUUUGGAGGUACAGCUAUUUUUACAAUAUUGAUUCUGCCAAUCCAAGAACUUGGAAGCUCUUUCCAACAUAUGGUGUCUUUUCUCAUUUACUUUACAGUGUUUCAAAGUUGUUUUGUUGUAAAAUAUUGCUUUCUGGACAUGAUGUGGCUGUUGUACUCAUGUACUCAGAAGAACAGUAGCCACUGCAUGAUACCCACAAAAAAAUUAGCUCUCAAUAUUUCAUCACGGAGUGGGGAGGGGCUCAUUAGGGCCCAUUCCUCCCUGAGAUCUACUGACAGUUAAGGAAGUUGCUGAGGACCAGGCUCAGCUUGGUCGGGGAUCCUGAGUAAAGGGUGUCCUGGAGGGACAGAGUGACUUGGAUUCAGUGAUGGAUGCAAGCUCAUUGCUCUGUAUUCUGCUUGAGAUAGCUCAGUUUUUGCUGGCAUUUUCUGGUGUCAAGCUAGUUCUCUCUUGCAGACCAAAGCCCAGUCUUUUAUUUUCAUAAGUUACUUCCUUAUCUGUUUAAUGAUUUACCCCAGGUUCCCUUUUGAUUAUCCCACAAAUUAGCAUUUUAUCAUCUUAAUCCCUUAACUCUAGCAACAGAGCCCCAUGGCUGAAUCUGCAGGGUUCUGCUGCUUGCUAGAGCUGGAAUAUGGCCCCAUUGUUUUAUUAACACCAGCUUUUUGUUUUUCAAUUCCUUCAUUGUUUAAACUUGGCUGUUCUGGAGUUUGCUCUGUAGACAGACUUAGUACUCAGAGAUGUGCAUGGUUCUGUCUCCUGAAUGCUGGAUUAAGGGCAUUUACCACCACGCCUGGAUGUAAGCUCUUUUUCACCUACAACUUGCUCUGUCUUAGGCUGGCAUUGAACCAAGACAUAUGCUUGCCCUUGUCUCCUGGGAUGUAAGGUGUGUACUUGCAUCCCUGAGCCUAAGCUUUUUAUGGUUACUUUUCCUCAAGAUCUUCAUCAAAAGUCUUUGUCUUCCAGCCUCCAGAUCUGAAUCACAUGUGUGCCCUACAUUUCUGGAUUCUAGUCAUUCCAGGUUAAAAGUCCAAACUAUUCCUUGUUCAACUGCAAAUGCAAACAAUAAUUUUAGCUGGGUGGCAUCUUGCCCUGAGAUCACAACUCCUUCAAUCUUCUUUUCUCUUUUCUUAAUAUCAUUCUGACAAAGCUGGCUCAUUAGUGUCGCUGACUCUGUUCUUUCAGGUCAUAUUGCAUGCUUAUUUUUUUCAUAGUUGAGAAAUCCUUACAUUGAUUUAUACAUUCUUGAAUUCAUGUUUUCAGCAUUCUUUCCCACAGUCUUAGGUUGUUAUGAUGACCACAGCAUGACUAUUUUGCUGAAGAAUACCAUUCAUGUUCUUACUUCCUGGAAUUCCACUGUUUCUGAUUAUGAUGGAGUCAUUAAUUUUGGCAGGGAGAACAUUCCCCAAAGGAAGAACAUAAAGUAAAAUAUGUACAUGAUUAUAUAUAAACAAACCAUAUACCUACAACAACUGUCAGCAUACAUGAAGACUCCUGAAGACCCACACCCUGCCAGCUGUGCUCCAGGAGUGGGAACCAUGCCGCACCAUCCCUCCAUGUUGGACCUGGCAGGUAGUUGCGUUUGUCAGUGGUAUAGUCACCAAUAGUUAUCAUUACUCAAGUAUAUAAUCCCCUCCCCCAUGUUCAUGUAACAUUAAUUAAAUGAAGUGGGCCAUGAACAAACAAAAGAUCACCAGGAAGUGAAAGAGAUCCAUUAUUGGGAAGGAAACAAUAUUCAUUGGGAAAAGAAGGAGAAAACAAGAUGACACUGAGGAUAUUAUGCAUGUUGUACGUGUGCGUGUGUGUGUGUGUGUGUGUGUGUGUGUGUGUGUGUGUGUGUAUGUGUGUGUGUGUGUGUGUCAAAAUUAUGGAAGAAAAAUACAAAAGAAAACUUCUAAGCCCACCAGGUAGGAAGAAAAAAGGAAGAACAAUAGCUAAAGACACAAGAGGAGCAUCAUGAAACGUCUCUAUCCAUUUCUGUGACUAUGAAGAUACUGUGUGAACAGAUAUUUUCAAUAAAUUCCUUUACUAAGGAGAGGAACAAGAGCCAAAAUACAGUUGGAUAGGGAAUUAGUUAUUAGUUAUCAUCUUCUUCAGAAUGGUAGGGUAACUAUACUCAUCAAUAAGUUAUUAUAUAUUUGAAAAAUAACUAAAGAAGAAUAGGUAAAGGGUUCUACUACAUAGAAGGGCUGUUGGGGAUGGAUAAAAGCUAAUUACCCUAAUUUGAUCAUUAGACAAUGUGCACACAUAUCAUAUAAUGCUAUUGCAUCCUGCAAAUACCAUUGUUUGAAUUGUAUGUGUACGUAUUAAUUGCCAAAGAAAUCCUAGGUAGUGUCAUUUCCAUGUGUGCAGAAAUGCCUUUGUAACUAGACUAUGGUAUAAUCAGUACUUUUGAAUACUCAUUGUGGCUUCUCUGUGUGCUGUCUCAUUGUUUAUCCUCAUAGAAAGUUUAUGAAGCAAAUAUUACCAUUUCCAUCUCACACAUGACAGCAUUGGGCCUGUGAGGUGUGCAGUAACUUGCCCUAGAGAAACCUUACUAGCUGUACAAAAGCUAAGCCCUCCUGAAGCUCUUGGCAUGUCCUUAGAACUACCCAGACUCAUGGUAAAAUUCUCUUUCACGGGAGCCUAUGUCAGGAGUGUAUUCAUGUAACUUCACACAAGAGGUUUGUUUCAAGCAUUAUUUAUCAUGUGCCAGCAACAGAUUUGAUUCCUUUGCCUCCCCACGCAUUAGUAACACACAGAUAUUGCUUGCUUAUCUUAUGUUCACUUCUUCUCCAGAUGUGAUGCAUUAAUGGUCUCCUGUGGUGCCUCUAAAACUAUAGAAAUGAUCUUAGAAUCCACAGUGUGCAGAAAUGAUCUUAGAAUUCCAGAGUAUGCGAUUUCCUUUAGACAAGAGUAAAAGGAAGUUGAUGUAACUAAGACCAGAGGCUUUGAAACUUAGCAUUAAUGCAACUAAAUCCAUGAUACCCACUAUGCAUGCCAAUAGCCAGCAUCAAGCUAAUGUAUUCAUUGCUUAUAUUUAAGUAUUUUUAGAAAUAUUAAAUUUAAUGGACUUCCCCAGAAGCAUGUGAUCUAAGUCACUGGUACAAAAUUAAAAAAAGGGAUGCUCUGGGCAGUGAGUGUGAACCGGCAAUUUAGAGUUCUUAGGAAGUGUUUAUUAUUUAGUAUCUAUGUGAAAGAGAAAACUGUGAUUGUGCCAUGAGUGGACAAUUGGUUGUAGCUUUAAAGAUGCAGGGAGAGAUACUGGCCCACUUGUUAAUAAUGAUCUCCAUCCCGCAGGGUGCCCACUGCACAAAGAGGAACCAGGGAGUAAGUAAAUCUUCUGUUAGAAACUUUUAAUGUCUUGUGCACUAUAAAUGUCCCCUGAAAAAGCUGCUGAAUGCAUAGCCCAUGAGGAGCAAGUGAUCUUUAUUUUAGCCAGCCAAAAUUUGGCCUGGGUUAAAGUCAUAAUUUAGACUGUAAACUAUGUCUCCUUAUGAGGUUUACCACAACUGGCUUUAAGCAUUAUUUCUCAGACAAAGAGGAAGUUUUGUAACAACACUACUAAAACUCUUGUCUCGUAGGAGGUGCAUAUGAGUAAAUACACCCUAUCCAGGCACAUGCAUGGACAAAUAUACAACACCCAUCACAUACAUAUCAAAAACACAGAUGCCAUAAAUCAUGCACUGUGCUCACAUAUGCACAUACAACACACAUGACAUACCAAAUACAUCUCUAUCAGAUAUACCUCAUGCACACCAAAUACAUACAUACCAUCAAAGAUACACCAGACAUAUAUACAUAUAACAUACACACACCACGCACCAUAUACAUGUAUUCCACACAUUCAACAACAUACACUCACUCCUAUUCCAACAAUUCAAAAUUACACUUAUUUUUUUAUUUUUUAAAACAUGGCAUAUAUUUGUUCCCAAAACAACUUGAAGGAUGAUAAAAAAUCUAAGGAGAAAAAUUUCCAACUAUUAUUUUGGUCUCACUGAUUUUAACUGUGGAUUUAUUUAGAGAAAAAAACAAUGGGAAAUUUAUAAGCAAAAGAUUUCAGAGUGGGUUAUACUCAUAUUAAAAUGUACUAAGUUUCAAUUUGUCAAGAAGUCACUCCUAUAUUCAUUGAUAUUAAAUAAUACUUUUUUAAACUUAAAUUAACUGACCAUUGAGAGGUAAGUGGUAUUUUUAUAAAGACAAGAAGACUCUGCUGUACAGAUCUCUCCACUUGAGAAUAAAUGUCUAUGAGAGAUAAGCUUUCCUGCUGACCUCUGUUCUCUGUGAAAUACAAAAAGACCUAUUAUAAGCCAAUGCCUUUUAUCUUUUCAAAUUAAAUCCACCUGCAUCAAGUCUGAUAAAGAUGAUCUAAGUAGCUGGAAAAGUGUGAUUUUCUCUUCUCUUGAGUUACAGUUAUUGAAAUGAAUGUUCUUCCUCUUCCUGUUUUCUUUUUAUUUCAAUAACUAUGGUUUAAACUUGAUUAAGCGCCAUGAUUAACUAAAAGGGCAUGCAAAUGAGAAUAGAUUUUCUCAGAAGGAAGAACAGUUUAAGUCUUCAAAGAAAAGAACUACCAGACACAUGAGAGGCUGUGGAAGGCCUCCUUUUUUUAUUUAACAAAGCAAGUGCACAAAUCUUCAACAGAAGAAAAUAUGGUUGUAAAUAGGGAAUUGUGUGAAAAUGAGGAAAUUCAGAGCCCUGAAAGCCAUAUCAGAGUCAUCUGUUGGUAUUUUCUUUUUACUGGAAAGAUUCAUAAGUCUGGAGACAUUGAGUGGGUAAGAGUACUUUCUGAUUAAGUAUGGGGACCUGAAUUUGGAUCCCAGUACUCAUGUAAAAUACCGGACAUGAACAUGCACAUGUCUAAUUCCUGUAGUGAAGGGUAGAGGUGGGAGGAUCACCGGGUUUUUAUUUUGUCUGCCAACUUAUCUUCAAAAUGCAGUUCAGUUUCAAGGAAAGACCCUACCUCAAAGAAAUAUCACAGAAUGAUAAAGAAGAAACCUGGAGUUAACCUCUAGCAUCUGCAUGUAAUCAAGCAAAGACAUCAGAACAAGGAUGCAUAUAUGCCAAAUACAUAUGCCAUAUACAUGCAAAUACAUAUACCCACAUUCAUAGACAUAUGCACAUGCAUGUCCAGAUCUGCAACAGAGGAUAUGAUCUGCUUAAUGAAUUUUCCUUAAAUACAUGACAUUGUUGUCUGUCCUAGUUUCAUUCUGUUGCUGUGACAAAUACCAUGACCAAAAGCAACUUGGGGGAAUGAAAUAAAUUUUUGGCUUACAUUUUACAGUCCAUCAUCAGGGGAAGUCUGGCAGGCACUCUAGCAGGAUAGUGGAAGCAGAAAUUAUGGAGGAAUGUUGCAUGCUAUUUUGUUAAUGACUGAUACUUAGCCAGCUUUCUUAUAUAGCCCAGAACCACCUGCAUGGAGAAUGGUGCCCCUCACAGUAGGAUGGUCUUCCUUCUUAAAAUAAUCAUCAGGAAAAUCCCUCACAUAUAUGCCCAUGGGACAAUCUGAUCUUGGCAAUUUCUUAGUUGAAACUUAGUUGAGGAUUUAGAGAAAGCAAGCAUUCAAUGGUUAAACCUCAGUUCAGGGACUUUACUGACACAUGUAAGAACUAGGCAGUCUCUGCCCCGUGGAAAGUGUGCAUGCUCUACAUGAAGAGUGCAUGUGUGUUUGUUUUGUGGAUAUCUGACGAUCCUGACACUCGCUCACCAAGGGUGAAGACCAUGUGCUUUGGAGAAACUGAGUAUGAAUCAGUUUCAUUUAGCAAUGUAGAGGGGUAUUAGCCCUUAAAACUUCUUGAUUAGAAUCCCAUCCUAACUGCCCAGUUUAGCAUGUUAUUGUAGUCUUUCUCAAAAAGAUGGUUGUUAUUCUGUUAAUAGAUAUAGAUUUCAUAAACAUAUAUAUGACAUAAUAAUAUUUAAGGAAAGACAGAGAUAAAUGUUAUAGGAACUGAGACUUCUACUUUUUUCUUACAAUUUACCAAGUACUUCAUAAUUUUAAAAUAAUUUCAGUUUAUUAUUCAACCAAAUAUCAAUGAACUAUUAACUGCAAUCUAAAUGUAUCAGAAACCAAUUCUUCCAGUUGACAGCACACUCCAUUGUACAAGAUUAAUAGCCUUUUGCUUCCUAGGAAUCUAUAGUACAUUAACAACGACAAAUGUAUUUAUGCAAAAUAUUGUCAGAAGGUAUUGGAACAUUAUCCCAGUGAGCAGGAUUGUAAUUACAAUUAUAAAAUGAAAAAAAUUAACUUCUCUAGGGAGUCCAAAAUUCUUUCUUGAGAAUUAUUUUAUUAUUGAAAUCUGAGCUUAAAAGUAUUUUAUCUGAAACCAAAGAAGAGCAAAUGAAAGAACAGUUUACCAAAAAUAAAUGAAGAAAUAUAAAAGACGUGAGAGCUAAAAAGUAGAUGUUCAAUCACUAAUAGAGAAAUUGAGAGAAACAGACCUUCCGUACCAAACUCAAUAGGUUUAAACCAACAGAUUAAUGAAGAUAUUUUGAAACGAUGGGUGAAUUGAUAUACCAAAAAUGGCCAGGUUUUUUCUUGAACUUAAGUAAGGCACUGUUUAGGUAACAAAAAUCAUUUUUGCCAUGCUGCUGCUGGAAACACUAGAGUCAAGAAGAAUAGAAUUAUAUUGCUAAAGUCCUUAAUUAAAUGCUCAUCUAUGUGAACAUCAGAUAAAGGCUACAAGGAGAAUGAAGAGAGAUUCUUUGGUGAGUCAAAGAAGACAAGGAAAGGCUGGAGAGAGGGCUCAGUGGUUAAGAGCACCGACUGCUCUUCCAGAGGUCCUGAGUUCAAUUCCCAGCAACCACAUGGUGGCUCACGGGAUCUGAUGCCCUCUUCUGGUGUUCCUUGUUUGUCUUCAAGGAACAUACAUAAAAUAAAGAAGACAAGGAAGAGGGAGCUUUCAGAGUGAUACACACACACACACACACACACACACACACACACACACACACACACACAUAUAUAUAUAUAUAUAUAUAUAAAAUGAAAAUUUCACUCAGUUCUUCAUACUCCGUGAUUCUAAAGAAUAUGCUAUAGCCAGGUAGCCAGGAGCCCAUCUUCACUCCUAGUCUCUUACCACACCUGAGGCAGACACCGCAUAUAGCUCUGAGUUCCACAUAAAUUCAGUUAUUCAUGCACACAUGGCAGGUGUGUGUAUAACUCAUAUAUCAUCAAUCUAUUAGUUACAAUUUCUGCAUGUGACUGGAUAUGGAAAUUAAAUUCAAGUAGCUUUACAUAGCAUCCUCUAACUACCUUAUCUCUAUGUCUACUCACAGUUGGUAGCUUUAUAUAGAAGCCUCUAAGUAGCAGAGUUCUAUGUCUAUUGAUGGUUUAGCAAAAUCUGCCUAGCUUUUAAGCGCUGGGGCAUAGGAUAUGGUAUUCUCAGAGUCUGCCUUUUCAAAUAUGUCACAUUAUUUGAAAUCAUACAGUAGUGCUACUUUCUUAGUAAUACCAAAAUAAGAACUUUACAUGCUCCUUGCAUCCUUGCACUAAUCUGUUUCUAUUCUGUGCUAACGUUGAUGUGAUGGGAUAUUUCAGAUCCAUAGGGUAAUUAUAAUUGUUUUGUUUUGCUUUUGAGAGAAUAUGGUGAAUUAGAACCACGAACUAAGCAGCUUAAAACAAGAUAUUUAUUCUCUUUCAAAGUCUGUAGGCUGAGCCUGGAGUUAGAAUGUUGUCUGCAGAGUGAGGUCCUUCAAGCAGGAUCAGCUUCUAGUGGGACAGACAUUGUAUAUCAUCAGUCGCUUUUGAUUCACAGACACAUCAUUCGGAGUUCUACCGCUGCCAUGGUGUGACACUCUCUUCCUGUGUUGUUCCUCCCUUCACUGUUCCUGCCUUGAACUUUUGCCUUGGCUUCCCCUGAUGAUGGAUUAUAACCUGUAAAUCAAAAUAAACCCUUUAAAAAAAAAUCCUAGCCUGCUUUAUGUGAGUGUUUUAUUCUAGCAACAGAAAGCUAACUAGAACAGUUUGAUUACCUAACUUUUUUUUUUUAAAUGAGCGAUCCUCCCAACCCAGUCUGUGAGAUUAAAGGAACGUUGAUGUGUUGCUAUUUGUACGUGCACUUCUUUGAAUUCUUCUACGGGUAUCAUCACAAUUCCACCUCCUCCUGACUGGAAGGUACUC